rnacentral:rRNA from 1 species
GACGAACGCUGGCGGCGUGCUUAACACAUGCAAGUCGAACGGUAAGGCCCUUCGGGGUACACGAGUGGCGAACGGGUGAGUAACACGUGGGUGAUCUGCCCUGCACUUCGGGAUAAGCCUGGGAAACUGGGUCUAAUACCGGAUAGGACCCUGGGAUGCAUGUCCUGGGGUGGAAAGCUUUUGCGGUGGGGGAUGGGCCCGCGGCCUAUCAGCUUGUUGGAGGGGUGAUGGCCUACCAAGGCGACGACGGGUAGCCGGCCUGAGAGGGUGACCGGCCCCACUGGGACUGGGAUACGGCCCAGACUCCUACGGGAGGCAGCAGUGGGGAAUAUUGCACAAUGGGCGCAAGCCUGAUGCAGCGACGCCGCGUGAGGGAUGACGGCCUUCGGGUUGUAAACCUCUUUCAGCACCGACGAAGCGCAAGUGACGGUAGGUGCAGAAGAAGGACCGGCCAACUACGUGCCAGCCGCCGCCGUAA